AUGGGGAGCUCAGCAUCCCUCUGUCUAGUUAUCACCUUGUUGGCAUUCUACUUCUUGGUUCCCUCCAACGCUAUACCCCUCUCAAGAGUGCAGAGACUGGUGCCCUUGCAACAUGCCAGUGAGCAGGUGCCAUGGAUCGAAGGAAACACUCCUAAGCCAAAGAUGGACAUGGGUAGAGUGAUCCUAGAAGAUGACGCGGUGAAUGUCAGUGCAAGGAUGGCUCUGGAGACGCAGGACUACGCGCCCUCGGGCCCGAACAACCACCACAAGCCACCGGGUUGGAACUAA
rnacentral:rRNA from 1 species